rnacentral:rRNA from 1 species
CGGGUUGCUUGAGAGUGCAGCUCUAAGUUGGUGGUAAACUCCAUCUAAGGCUAAAUAUGACCACGAGACCGAUAGCGAACAAGUACCGUGAGGGAAAGUUGAAAAGAACUUUGAAGAGAGAGUUNAAGAGUACGUGAAACCGUUCAGGGGUAAACCUGUGAAACCCAAAAGAUCGAAUGGGGAGAUUCAUCGCCAGCGGCGUGGGCUUCCUUGUGGUUUGCGAUGUUCGGGGCUUCGGCUUCGGGUCACGCUUUCGCUGUCGGUAUCUCCUGCGCUGUGGGCGUGCACUUUUCCCCUAGUAGAACGUCGCGACCCGUUGGGUGCUGGCCUACAGCCAGGUUUGGUCAACUGUCGCGUCGCGUUCACGCGCGUACCGGGCAGACCGUCGGUUUGCCUGUCCUGCUGCCCGGCGGUAUAGAUAGCUAUAAAAUUGGUAUUAGGCCGCAUUAACUGCGUUCAGGCACGUCGGCAUGCCGCGUCUCGCUCGGAUUGACGGACCUAGUCCCGUUGCCAGGUGCUUGACGUGAUCAUUCGUCGACGAUGUCCUCGGACUGGCUCUUACAUUCGAACGGAUAUACCGGUCGGCGACGCUACUGCUUUGGGUACUUUCAGGACCCGUCUUGAAACACGGACCAAGGAGUCUAACAUGUGCGGGAGUCAUUGGGACUUGUUAUAAGCCUAAAGGCGUAAUGAAAGUGAAGGUCGGCCCUAGCGUCGACCGAGGGAGGAUGGCUCGCGUCACGAUGCGAGUCCGCACUCCCGGGGCGUCUCGUGCUCAUUGCGAGCAGAGGCGCACCUAGAGCGUACACGUUGGGACCCGAAAGAUGGUGAACUAUGCCUGGUCAGGACGAAGUCAGGGGAAACCCUGAUGGAGGUCCGUAGCGAUUCUGACGUGCAAAUCGAUCGUCGGAACUGGGUAUAGGGGCGAAAGACUAAUCGAACCAUCUAGUAGCUGGUUCCCUCCGAAG